rnacentral:rRNA from 1 species
CCUACGGGGGGCAGCAGUGGGGAAUAUUGGACAAUGGGGGGAACCCUGAUCCAGCCAUGCCGCGUGUGUGAAGAAGGCCCUCGGGUUGUAAAGCACUUUCAGUGAGGAAGAACGCCUGGUGGUUAAUACCCAUCAGGAAAGACAUCACUCACAGAAGAAGCACCGGCUAACUCCGUGCCAGCAGCCGCGGUAAUACGGAGGGUGCGAGCGUUAAUCGGAAUUACUGGGCGUAAAGCGCGCGUAGGUGGCUUGAUAAGCCGGUUGUGAAAGCCCCGGGCUCAACCUGGGAACGGCAUCCGGAACUGUCAAGCUAGAGUGCAGGAGAGGAAGGUAGAAUUCCCGGUGUAGCGGUGAAAUGCGUAGAGAUCGGGAGGAAUACCAGUGGCGAAGGCGGCCUUCUGGACUGACACUGACACUGAGGUGCGAAAGCGUGGGUAGCAAACAGGAUUAGAGACCCUUGUAGUC